UUUAUCAAUAUAUAGCUGCUAUUGUGGCUAUCAUACAGAACUACAAAUGCCUGUCUCAAGUUUCACGUCACUCACCAGGGCCCUGAUGAUCUGGACGAGACUACCGAAACGAGGCAAAUUUGAACUUGUUGACUGAUGCCAAGGCGGUGGCUGCUAUGAAGGAAGCAGCUGCGGACCAGAAGACUGCAGCAUUGGUCCACACCUGCCCUGUCUGUCAGAUGCAGACCCAAAGACGUUCAAGCAGCACAUUGAAAGCAAGCAUUCGAAGUGGGGUUGUGAUUCACAGACACACGAUGACCACAAUUUGAAUGCUGAAACUGAGACGAAAUGACGUCGAUGGACACAUGCUGAGACCCCGAGUAUGACUGGACAUGGGAUGGAUAUUUGUGACAAUGACCUAAAAGGGGUGCAGAAGCACACCAUCACCCCAUUUUAUGUUUAUUCCAUGGCCAACCAUCCCUCUAGCUAUCCCUUAUUCCACACUAUGCCUUUUAUGCCCCAUGGUCCCUCAACUUCGGACACUUUGGACCUCUCCAUCUUAUCAGUUUAAACCCACCCUUCCUUCACUUGUUUUUCUCCUGUUUGGAUAACAUCUAGAUUGUGUUGUGGUGUACUUUUCUUUCACCUGUGUAAUGCUGUCCUCCUGCUUAUUCCGGGGUUCAGACUGAAUGCAGUUGUAAAUGUGCUGCUCACAAUUGACAUCAGCAACAUGUACCUGUUACAUUGACAAGAAGGGUGUUGAUAUAGCUGCGUUUAGGCAUGGCUUCCUUGUUUUGAGUCUGUUAAGUGUGUUUCUCAUUCUGCUGGAGUUGACCUAGUAUUUUUUAUAUUAAACCUACCUUACACAUUCAGUUGUUUCUCCAUUUGUAACUCACCCACCAAAAAUCACAAUAUGCUGUUUUACAUUAUUUUUGCUGGUCUAAUUCCUAAAAUGGAAAAGCAGAAGAAUCUGUGCUCUCUGAUGGUAAUAAGAGUUCAUAUGGUGCUCUUCGAUGUCCCGGGUUUGUGGCAUUGAUGAAUAAAUCAUUUCAUCUUUACUUCAAGUCAGAUGUUUGUUAUGCAUGAAAGGCAUAUGUUUGCAUUGUUUACUAUUUUGAUAUGUUUAAAACAAUGUGA